GCAUCUAGGGCACACAUCUAAUACCAAAGCACAUUGAGUUGCUUGCAAGUCCCUGAGGCGAUCUUAGGUCUAACGAAUACUUAUACUUAUAUCCCAUCAUAGAUAUUCUCGACAGCAGAAUGCUUUGACGUUGGUCACGUUCUAUGAUGAUGUAUCCUUACAUCUCACCUGUAUGCCAUACCAGUGUCUCCACACUCUUUGGUUAAGAGGACAAC
rnacentral:lncRNA from 1 species